CAAUCCCAUGAGUACAGCGGCGACCGGGUGAGUAACACGUGACUAACCUACCCUUGAGUGGGGAAUAACUCCGGGAAACCGGAGCUAAUACCGCAUAACACCGUAAGGUCAAAGGAGCAAUUCGCUUAAGGAGGGGGUCGCGGCUGAUUAGCUAGUUGGCGGGGUAAUGGCCCACCAAGGCUUUGAUCGGUAGCCGGCCUGAGAGGGCGCACGGCCACACUGGAACUGAAACACGGUCCAG
rnacentral:rRNA from 1 species